GGGCCGUUAGCUCAGUCGGUAGAGCAUCUGACUUUUAAUCAGGUGGUCGCAGGUUCGAUCCCUGCACGGCCCACCA
rnacentral:tRNA from 10 species